rnacentral:rRNA from 1 species
AUUGAACGCUGGCGGCAUGCCUUACACAUGCAAGUCGAACGGCAGCGGGGACUUCGGUCCGCCGGCGAGUGGCGAACGGGUGAGUAAUGUAUCGGAACGUACCAUUGAGUGGGGGAUAACGUAGCGAAAGUUACGCUAAUACCGCAUAUUCUCUCCGGAGGAAAGCAGGGGACCGCAAGGCCUUGCGCUCUUUGAGCGGCCGAUGUCAGAUUAGCUAGUUGGUGAGGUAAAGGCUAACCAAGGCGACGCUCUGUAGCGGGUCUGGGAGGAUGAUCCGCCACACUGGAACUGAGACACGGUCCAGACUCCUACGGGAGGCAGCAGUGGGGAAUUUUGGACAAUGGGGGCAACCCUGAUCCAGCCAUGCCGCGUGAGUGAAGAAGGCCUUCGGGUUGUAAAGCUCUUUCGGCCGGGAAAAAAUCGCAUGGGCUAAUACCCUGUGUGGAUGAUGGUACCGGAAUAAGAAGCACCGGCUAACUACGUGCCAGCCGCCGCGGUAA